rnacentral:rRNA from 1 species
UCAAGAGUAAGUGAGCAGUAUCAAAUAGUUACACAAAAGACAGCAAUUACGAUGAUUCAAGCAAACACUGACUCAAGGUUUCCAAGUAAAAGAAUAUACAUGUAUUUACUCUUUAGUUAUAUAACAUUUCACUAUCAUAAAGCAGUUUAAAAAUCACACACUUAAUACUCCACACCACUCCCAAUAAGUUCCAGACAAGUUAAGCUCACAAAACGAAGUAGGAGCAAAAUGGCAAUCCAGAAAUUCAAAAGGGAGGGAAAGACAAAGUUAAUAGAAAUUGAACCACACCAACAGGUAAGUACUCAGGGCAAUAGAGCAAGAGGAACUACAGUGACAGAAUCAGGGUAAAAGGCUUAAGGCCAAAGUCACUAGGUCAAAAGUAUUUUGCUCAAGAUCACACGGUUCAGGGUAGUUUGCGGUAAAGUUUGUGCCACGGAUUCCGGACGAGGUUGGUUGGCAGAAAAGUUAGUUCAAAGAGAAGAGAAGGACAAGCCCUCGGAUUGGAGAAGGAUUUCAACACACUUUGCCGAGGCUGAGCGAAACAAGCAACUGGGUUUGCACAGUACUUAAAACGGAGAGUAAGCUGUAGCUGAGGCGGACGUUCCUGGUAGUUCAAGCAGGCUCAUAGUUCCUGAAGCGACUGUCGGACUGACACGAAGUAGGAAGACUGGAGGGUCCUGCACUACCCAGGGAAGAAACCAGCAGGAGAGCAACAAUAAAAGUGUGCUCCUUAAAACCCAAGCAGGGUGCGAACCUUCCUGGCUAUCCGGCCCACUGUAGCUCUGUUCAGCGAAUUCGACCAGAGGAGGGGUCCUGGCUUGCAGUUUGGGCAAACUGGUUGGUCCCACCAGCUCAAGGGAAGAAGAAAUCUGGAGGAUCUUCUCUGUCGUUGGAGAUCGAGGAUUCGGACCUGCAGCAGGGCUUCACCGGCGGUUCAGUCGUGGUAGGGGUCCUCUUCCGUCAGUUCCUCAUCGGUUCUUUCGUUCCAGUGGUGACUGCCUUUCCAGUCCAGAGACUUGCUUUUUAUGCAGUUUUCCCCCACUCACACAGCCUGGCUGUCAAUCACACAGCAGGGUGGCUGUCCUGGCAAGGGCAGCCACCCAGCCAAUCAAACAGGAGUGCGACUUGGGUUACCAAGGGAACCCAUGGCAGGGGUCCUAAGACCCCUCCCUCACAUCCUGCCUACCCAGACUUUCAGGUGCCUUAAGGAGGGCUUCUGUGCAGAAGCCUGCGAAAAGACGGCGAACAAAGGUACGAAACCUGGUUUGGUGCGCAGAGAAAAACAUGAGAAAGACUAACAAGAAAUGGCAAAUAAACCCAGCCGGAGCCGAAUUAAUAUAUAUUUGGUCACGCGGGUUUAUGUUCGAGGCUACUAACAUAGCCUAAAACAAUACCAUGGUUAUUUAAGAUAACCGCAGUAGAAAAAAUAGGGAUGUUACCACUGCCACCAGCCAAGUCUUGAUGAAAAGGGUGCGAAACAGUGUUCCAAGAGAAACAGACAAAAAGGGAUAAGAAUUAACAAUGGUGUGUGUUAAUUAAGAAUUAACACACAACGAUGGUGCUCAUGGAGUAGGUGAGGCUCCAGAGCCCAAGACAGCAGGACGGUGGCCAUGGAAGUUGGAAUCCGCUAAGGAGCCGCGGGGAGAGUUCUCUUUUCUUUGUGAAGGGCAGGGCACCCUGGAAUGAGUUGGAGAGCGUUGCGGUUCCAGCGGCCUGCGGUGAGCUAUCGCUGGUCCUUGAAAAUCCAGGGGGAGAUGGUGUCAAUCUCGCGCCGGGCCGUACCCAUAUCCGCAGCAGGUCUCCAAGGUGAACAGCCUAUCGCAUGUUGGAACAAUGUAGGUAAGGGAAGACAGCAAGUCAGAUCCUUAACUUCAGGGUAAGGAUUGGCUCUAAGGGCUGGGUCGGUCGGGCUGGGGCGUGAAGCGGGGCUGGGCGUGCGCAGCGGUUGGAUGAGGCAUCUCACACCCUCUCCCCGGGGGUGGCAUCGACGCUGGAUGUGAGCCGGGCCCAGCCUGUGGAUCUCCCCAGCUGAAGUGGUCACCUUUCUCCGUUCCCCUCUUGGGAUUCGGGGGCCGACGUUCUGCCUCGGCCGACGCCUAGUAGAUGACUUAGAACUGGUGCAGACCAGGGAAAUCUGACUGUUUCAUUAAAACAAAGCAUUGCAAAGGCCUGCGGUGGGUAUUGACGCAAUGCGAUUUCUGCCCAGUGCUCUGAAUGUCAAAGUGAAGAAAUUCAAUGAAGUGCGGAUAAACGGCGGGAGCAAAUAUGACUCUCUUAAGGUAGCCAAAUGCCUCAUCAUCUAAUUAUUGGUGGGCAUGAAUGGAUGAACGAGAUUCCCACUUUCCCUACCUACUAUCUAGCGAAAUCACAGCCAAGGGAACUGGCUUGGCAGAACCAGUGGGGAAAGGAGACACAGUUGUGCUUGCCUCUAAUCUGGCACUGUAAAGAGACAUGAGAGGUGCAGGAUAAGUGGGAGGCCCUUGGGCCGCCGGUGAAAUAUUACCCGGUGAGGUGGGGGCGAGCCCCAUAGAGCUCUCUGCUUCUGGCUCAAAGCACCCAGCGCAAGCCGUGCGCGACCUGCUCCGGGGACAUUGGCAGGUGGGGCGUUUGACUGGGGCGGAACACCUGUCAAACGAUAACACAGGUGUCCUAAUGUGAGCUCAGGGAGGACAGAAACCUGCCGUGGAGCAGAAGGGCAAAAGCUUGCUUGAUUUCGAUUUUUCAGUAUGAAUACAGACCGUGAAAGCGGGGCCUCACAAACCUUUUGACUUUUGGGGUUUCAAGCAGGAGGGGUCCGAAAAGUUACCACAGGGAUAACUGGCUUGUGGCAGCCAAGUGUUCAUAGCGACAUUGCUUUUUGAUCCUUCAAUGUCGGCUCUUCCUAUCAUUGUGAAGCAGAAUUCACCAAGCGUUGGAUUGGUCACCCACUAAUAGGGAACGUGAGGUGGGUUUAGACCGUCGUGAGACAGGUUAGUUUUACCCUACUGAUGAUGUGUUGUUGCAAUAGUAAUCCUGCUCAGUACAAGAGGAACCGCAGGUUCAGACAUUUGGUGUAUGUGCUUGGCUGAGGAGCCAAUGGGGCGAAGCUACCAUCUGUGGUGAUUAUGACUGAACGCUCCAAGUCAGAAUCCCCCAAACCGUAAUCAUACCACAGUGCUGUCGAGCCAUGGUUGGCCUAGGAUAACCGGCCUCUAGGCGGUGCGUAAAGCCAGCUCGCCUCGGGACUCAAGUGUGUACAGAAGGGGGCCACGUCUCUCGCCGAAGUGUACCGCAUGUUCGUGGGGGACCUGGUGCUAAAUCAUUCGUAGAUUACCUGAUUCUUGUUCAGGGUUUCGUAAGUAGCAAAGCAGCUACCUUGCUGCAAUCUAUUGA